rnacentral:rRNA from 1 species
UACGAAGGGGGCUAGCGUUGUUCGGAAUUACUGGGCGUAAAGCGCACGUAGGCGGCUUUCUAAGUCAGGGGUGAAAUCCUGGAGCUCAACUCCAGAAUUGCCUUUGAUACUGGAGAGCUAGAGUCCGGGAGAGGUGAGUGGAACUCCGAGUGUAGAGGUGAAAUUCGUAGAUAUUCGGAAGAACACCAGUGGCGAAGGCGGCUCACUGGCCCGGUACUGACGCUGAGGUGGCGAAAGCGUGGGGAGCAAACAGG